GAGUAGCUGGGACUACAGGCGCCCGCCACCACACCCAGGAAUCCAACUUGCUGUUUGCUAUCACAUGUGCUAUACAUGCUGUUGAUGAAACUGCUAAAGGGGCUGAAUGUGACUGACGUCUUUGGAAGGAUGAGACUUAGCGUGCCUGUACAGUUGUGUCCAAAUGCUGUCCUCAUCUCCCAAUGAAAAGCUGAACUAGGGCCAUGCCUGGGACAGACAGAGAAUGGCCUUCCAGCAGACAUGCCAAGAAGCAAGCCAGGGUCAGUGAGUGAAGAGGAGGGCAGGCCCAUUUGAAGCAACACAGUUUAUGUAAGUGUGAUCUAACUGCUUUCACUGGAAAUGGGUCAGACUCCAGUUGAGAGAACCAGGGGCCUGAAUGACCCCAGCAAAAUCACUGUGGCAAUUCUUUCAAUCACCUCUGAGAAUAUGGCCCUGUGACGACAUAAUGACGUUUGGAUUAAUUCCAGUCGGCUGUGUUUUCCCCUCCUUUCUUGCCUCCCCGUAGUUGAUUUGCCAAAUUUUUUUUGUUUGCUUAAAUACGCGGAACUAAACAGGAUACAUUAUAUGACAGUCUGUGAUAAAUUUACCACUGGGAAUAGGGAAAAAGUAUGGGAUAAAGAAAUAGGUAUUUUUCGCCUCUCACAGCUGUGAUUCAGUUCUGACUCAAAAGGAAGUGUGCCACCUACUGAAUCACAGAAACCACUUCCUGUGGCUGUUUGGUUUAUUCUGGAGGAGCAUCAGGCCAAGUGCUGCCCUGCCCUGACCCUGACUGGCUCUUCAGAGCCAAGGCAUUCACAGCUUGAGGUGGUUUGGCCUCAGACUCUUGAGAACAUUGCAUAUUAAAUUACAAGUGUUUCGUUUCCUAGCAAGGAGUCUUUAGCAACAUGAAAACGAACGUGUGUUAUUUGCAAACCAAGUAUAUCAUUACUGAACCUGAAUAUCCUUACUUUUUCAUAAGGUACGUAUUCCGGAUGACCACUCUUAAGAUCUGAAUGUACACUGGUUCUGUUUUUCCUGAGGGGAACUUGGGCAGUCUGCAGGGUGGCAUUUACCAGCUGAGGUAGGAGAAUUGCUUGAACCUGGCAGGGCAGAGGUUGCAGCAAGCCGAGAUCACGCCACUGCUCUCCAGCCUGGGUGAGACUGUCUCAAAAAAAAAAAAAAAAAAGAAAGAAA
ensembl:lncRNA LUCAT1 lung cancer associated transcript 1